UAUUGUAUUUAAUAGUUUUAAUGGAUUUUAUGUAUUGUUUGAUAUUGUUUUUGUGUGGGCAUCAAAUUGUUGCCAUUGUUGUAAGCCGCCCUGAGUCCCUUCGGGUGAGACGGGCGGGACACAAAAGCUGGAAAUAAGCAUAAAUAAAUAAAUAAACCCCACUUGACUAGUAAAAAAAAUAAAAGGCGACAUAAUGCUCUCUCGCUUUCUCCUGGGCCCGCCUUGCAGAAGCGCCCUCCUUCCUUCCAACCUUCUUGGGGGGCAAGGCAACCGCGUUGGGGUCCUGCGCGCGCAACCUUCCUCCUCCUCCUCCUGGCUGUUCCGCCUCCCUGCUCCCCUCCCCCCGCCCUCCUCCUGAGGUGGGCGUGGCCCCGCCUGCCGCUGUGCCGCCGCCUCUGCCGCACCCCCCGCCGCUGCCGAGGGAAGAGGGAGGAGAGAGGCUCCUUGGUGCUGAGCAGCAGCAUACGCCGUGAACCCCGACCCCGCCCUCGGCUGGCCAAUAAGAGCGCAGCUCGUCUCCAAACCCAAAAUUUCCACGUCGGCAAAAGUCAAGAUGGAGCGGCAGAGGAGGCAGCUGGAGGCCUCCCCGCUCUCCCUCCCUCCCGUCCUUCCCCUUUUCUGCAGCGGAGACGCCCGGCCCUCCCUCCCGCCCUCCCUCCCUUCCUUGCAGCUGGAGGAGGAGGAGGCGCCGCACGGACCUGUUGCGUUGGCAGCUGCCUUGGGCUCCAGGUGCAAAGGGGGCGCCAGGUGGGGAGGUCGGAGCUGCUGCCGGGCUGCUUCUUUCCUCCUCUUAGCCUUUUGCAUUGGAGAUGGGGUUGCUCCCCUGGAGCCCUGCAGGGAACAGCCCGGUGGGCGCCUUUUCCCUUGGCAAGGCCACAAUGCAGUGGCUCCUGCCUCCACAGCUGGUCAACAGGCUUCCCCAGGUAGGCUUUGGUGGGCUCCUGGCCCUCGCCUGCUGCACUUCUGCUCCUGCCUCCAGACCUUCACAGCACAGGUAGGCUUAGAAGCCCUAAGGAUAAGGGGAGAGGGAGUUUCCCAUAGGGAACCCCCAUGCAGGCUUCUCCCUUGCAGGCUUCCCCAGGUAGGCUUUGGUGGGCUCUUGGCCCUCGCCUGCUGCACUUCUGCUCCUGCCUCCAGACCUUUCACAGCACAGGUAGGCUUAGAAGCUUUAAGGAUAAGGGGAGAGGGAGUUUCCCAUAGGGAACCCCCAUGCAGGCUUCUCCCUUGCAGGCUUCCCCAGGUAGGCUUUGGUGGGCUCCUGGCCCUCGCCUGCUGCACUUCUGCUCCUGCCUCCAGACCUUCACAGCACAGGUAGGCUUAGAAGCCCUAAGGAUAAGGGGAGAGGGAGUUUCCCAUAGGGAACCCCCAUGCAGGCUUCUCCCUUGCAGGCUUCCCCAGGUAGGCUUUGGUGGGCUCCUGGCCCUCGCCUGCUGCACUUCUGCUCCUGCCUCCAGACCUUCACAGCACAGUUGGCAAGAGGAAAAGGCCAUUCGAUUGAUGACAUAGGUUGGAGGAAAAAGCAGAUUUGGUCUCUGGAAGCAAAGUUCUGUGACACUCGGACUCUGAUUAUGAUAGAAGUCAGUGCACUACAGAACUUUGUCGCCGGGGGCCGUGGCAGCCAAGGAGUUAAUGCCACACUCCGGAAACUCAGGUGGACACGUCACUGCAGCAGCCUCCAACAGGGUGAGAUGGGAGGGCUUGAAGCAGAAUGGGAUGGGAGAGGUGGCACUACUCAAGUGGUUAUGCAAAAGUGCCAAACUGUAUGCCUGUGUUUAAAUAAAGCCUUUGCUCUUUGGAAA